rnacentral:rRNA from 1 species
AGGCUGCAACUCGCCUACAUGAAGUCGGAAUUGCUAGUAAUCNCGGAUCAGCAUGCCGCGGUGAAUACGUUCCCGGGCCUUGUACACACCGCCCGUCACACCAUGGAGUCGGUAACACCCGAAGCCUGUAGUCUAACCGCAAGGAGGACGCAGUCGAAGGUGGGAUUGAUGACUGGGGUGAAGUCGUAACAAGGUACC